rnacentral:snoRNA from 1 species
GUGCAGACCUCCAGCGAGGCUGAGCCUGCCGUGGCUCUGUCCUUUCCUGUAGUGCCUGCUAGAGAGAUGUUGGGGCUGUUUGAGGCCCUGCUGUGGCUCUUCACUGCAGGGUUAUAGGUAAACCUCACACAAUG